rnacentral:lncRNA from 1 species
AUGCAAGUAGGUCCCAAGAUACUUAUUUUAUUUGUUAAUGUACUGACUCGAUCACAAUGGAAAUGUCUGCAAGGGGUGUUGUGGUACGCUGGCCCUGUGCCUCUACCAGUUCUCACUAAUGCUUCCUUUUCCUCCCCAGUGCUGCAGGCCCAGCACCAGGACUCCUGCCAGGACUCCUCCCGGACGCUGAAGGUUGCUGUGAUGCUGGCACGAAGAGCAGGAAGGCCAUCUUCUCUUCACACCGUCAGCAUUUCCACCACUGACUUGGGUGGUGUGGGAAGCAGAGAGCAACUGGUGAAGGCCAAGGCAAAGGCUUCUUUUGAUUAAAGGAAGGGGAGCGUGACCGUUAGUGUGAACAAUGUGUCUGAGUUCACCUGCUGGAAUUAGGAGGUGCUGGUAUUUUCACUUGUAAGUAUUCCCACUUUGUCUCAGCUUCAUAGACUUUGGCUUUUGAACUGUGCAAGCAGAAGGUUCACGCUGAAAAUACUGACAAAUAUUUGCAGACAUUUUUAAUGAGAAUAACAUCCUCUCUGUCAAACCCAGAGAUGCUGAUUUCUGCUAUCACCAGUAAAACAUUUGGGGCCGCUACAUUCUUUACAAAAUGUGAGCUCUUCAAAAAGAAGAAGGUGACUGUAAGUAACUGGGAUGACUGGUUGGAGCCUGCAAUAUCCCUGCUAUUCUGGUUCCUGCUUCUUCAGGCAUUCAUUGCUACCCAGUUAUUUCCAUGAUAAUCAAUGGCCCACCCAUUUUUGAGCUAUGUGGGUUAAGACAGAAUCUUUAAAUACACUGAAUGUUCUUGCUCAUUCCCAUCUAUUAUGAUCUUUUUUCCUACCUACUUGUGUGAGAGUUAUUAAUAGUUGAGUGGAAGAUGUUUCUUUCUGAUGUUGCUUAACAUCUGAGGGGUCAAAGAGUUUUGUAUUUGUAUAUAUGCACAUCAUAGGGUUCUCUGAGUUCCUGUUACUGGUGGCUGAAGUAAAAGCUACAUUCAUGCCGGAUCAAAACUCUGUUGAACGUUAUCCUUCCAAACCUGAAGUAUUGUAGAGCACAUAUACGUAGGCACUUGCUAGUUUUUUUGUUCAUAGCCAAGUUACCCAGCUUUUUCCAAGAGGAGAAGCCUUGCUAGGUUAAGGGAAACUCUGAUUUGUGAAAUAUUUUGAGAUACAGUCCACGUAAUUCUGAAACAGAGUAGAAUUUUUCAUGUUCUGUGCACCAGAUUCAGUGAACGUUUUGCUCAGGAGCAGUGCUGAUCCUGUCUCAGUACUGCUGGUGAGUGCAUUCAGAAAGGCUUGGACAAGUUGUUUUCAUUUACUCCCUAAAGUGUCUGAAGUGAUUGACUUGUCCUUUGCUACGGUAGUGGAUGAGAAAUACUUGUGGCUGGAAUUAUUAAGGUUGUUAAAUAAAUUUUACUCAUUUUACUUUUUUACUACCA